ensembl:lncRNA
AAAUUAUGCAGCAAGAAAGGCUCAGCAGUAGCUGUAGUGACCCUCAUAUACAUAUCUUGAGGUUUUAUUCACCCAAGAGAUACAUAGUAAAAGGUUUUCUUGUUUCCAGACUGGAAUUUUUGUGUGUGGUUAUAUUAGAAACUUUGUAGGACUAGACAAAAUAUUAACCGUGUUUACAGUGAUCACCCCACAUUAGAAAAUAAUUUAUGUGAUAACUGUCGAGCGAUUAAAGUUGCCCUAAAGCAUGACUGAAAACUUCUCCCUGUCAUGGGAUGAAAAGUGAUGGAGCACAUGAAGCCACACUCUGCGAUUCACCCCUCAUCACUCCUGCAUUCGUCCAUGUUAAUUAGCUUUGCUUGUUUUGGAGUUCAUCAAUAUUUUAGCACCCCAAUUCAUAAUUCAAACAGGAACCUGAAAAAUCAACCGAGUUGUUAUUUCGCUACGAUUUCCGCUUCGGCUGGGGAUGUGGAAACGCUGUAGCCGUCAGUGUCUGGUAACCAGGAUUUGAGGGAGAAUAUGUGAAAUGACGAUACUGUAAUCAGUUAUGACAUGCUGCGUGGUGUUGCAUUUUGGGCCACAGGCAAGACUUUUUUUUUUUUUUGCUCUCAUGAGGAGAGUGUGCAACGCUUCAGUCGGUCACCUCCACAACCGAUUUCCUACAUCAAAUGCUUGUAUGUUAACUUCAUGCAGCAGGUCGGAUGAAUGUCAGCAGCCCGCUGCUCUUGAGUAUCUGUUUCAAAUAAACAGUGUUUUCUCCCCCGGGUCUGUGAGUACAUGUGACUGUGUGAAAAUGUGUCUGUGUUCUGGCCUCGUACUACAGCCUGCAGAUGUUGUAGGUGUGAACUUGACUUUUCCUUGUAGCAGGAGGUGUGAACCGCUGGGGAAAUGUUAUUCUGGCUGACUCACAAACUGCAGGAAUCUUUCUGAGAAAUCGUUUACCUGUGGAUUUAGUUCAAAAAUCUGUGUAUUCUUCCAACUUAAAAAACAAACCAUCAAUUGGUUUCAGAAUAAAUCGAUUUUAAAAAAAUCUCCUGUUCUGAACCACGAGAUGUAAUCUUGCUCCUUGUGGAAUGGUCAUUAGCCUUACAGGGAGACGGUGCUAUUUUUUUAUUUAGAAAAACAUUAAACAAGUACAAAAAAUCCAGCCUGUUGGCAGUUUGUUUUGUUUUCUCUUUGAAGACAAUGUAUUGUGUGUGUUUGACCAGACGAUUUCUAAAAGAAGAGUGAGUCUUUGAAUUCCCGCAUGAAGCAGGAUAAAGUGAGAGAACUGCCCCCAGACGUUUGCUUUUAAACCAUAAAAUGCUCAGUGGCGUAAUCUGAAGCAUGUGAGAGAUGCUGCCUCACUGAAUAAAAAUAAAAAAAAAUGUUGAAACCUUAAAGCGACACACUAAAUAAGGAGUUUUGAGAGCAGGCAGAGGAAAUGUGAGGUCAGUAUUAGAACAGCUGAUCCACGGGUCCACGGCAGGUCACUGAGAUGCAGAGGAAUGAUGGUCACACAGAUGGGUGCAUUGAAGAGUUGUAGCCAAAGAAAAGUGAUGUACACAUCACUUCUCAAAGCCCAGACAUUAUUAUUCUGUUCUCAUUCUGCUUUUCCUCAUACAGUAAUAUCCUCAUAUACAAAAUCUUCCUAAAAAUGCUUAAUGUAAUUUAUGACUUUAAAUACAGCCUAAGAUUGUGUAAUAAGGCCAGAAACCCGAGACCACAGAGAAGAAAGAAAAGACAAACUGCCUCAUUUACCCACAGAGCUUAGCCACACAUUUUUC